AACCCAUGUUUAGGAGAUUUCCACUGGAGCUCCUUGAACCUAUCCCAUGUCUCAAAUAAAGGCUUCAAUUUCAUUUGCACAAUACAGGAUAUUUCAUUCCUAAGCUU